CUUACACUUAUUAGAACUCUGAUGU
rnacentral:piRNA from 1 species